rnacentral:rRNA from 1 species
UCAAGCUACUAAGGGCAUACGGUGGAUGCCUAGGCGCCAGGAGCCGAAGAAGGACGCGGUAAGCUGCGAAAAGCCACGGGGAACUGCAAGCGAGUAUUGAUCCGUGGAUAUCCGAAUGGGGAAACCCGGCCAUCGUAAUGGAUGGUCAUCCGCAAGGAAGGGAACCCGGGGAACUGAAACAUCUAAGUACCCGGAGGAAAAGAAAUCAAACGAGAUGCCCACAGUAGCGGCGAGCGAAGAGGGCAGAGCCCAAACCUGUAAGCUACGGCUUAUGGGGGUUGAGGACUGACGUAAUUAAGGCCAGGCUUAGCUGAACUACCUGGGAAGGUAGGCGAUAGAAGGUAAGAGCCCUGUAAGCGAAAGGCAGAGCCUUAAGGUCAGUAUCCAGAGUACCACGGAGCACGAGGAAUUCUGUGGGAAGCAGGGGGGACCACCCUCCAAGGCUAAAGACUAACUGGCGACCGAUAGCGCAUAGUACCGUGAGGGAAAGGUGAAAAGAACCCCGGGAGGGGAGUGAAAUAGUACCUGAAACCGUAUGUCUACAAGCAGUCGGAGCGAAAGCGACGGCGUGCCUAUUGAAGAAUGAACCAACGAGUUAUCUGCACUAGCGAGGUUAAGUGGAAGACACGGAGCCGUAGCGAAAGCGAGUCUGAAAAGGGCGACGAGUUAGUGUAGGUAGACCCGAAACCGCAGUGAUCUACCCAUGUCCAGGUUGAAGCGCAGGUAAAAAUGCGUGGAGGACCGAACCGGUGAGCGUUGAAAAGCUUUCGGAUGAGAUGUGGGUAGGGGUGAAAUUCCAAUCGAACGCGGAGAUAGCUGGUUCUCCCCGAAAUAGCUUUAGGGCUAGCCUCAGGUAGUAAGUAUAGGCGGUAGAGCACUGAUCGGGCUAGGGGCCAUAAAGGUUACCGAACCCUGUCAAACUCCGAAUGGAUAUACUGCAGAGCCUGGGAGUCAGACUACGAGUGAUAAGAUCCGUGGUCAAAAGGGAAACAGCCCAGACCACCGGCUAAGGUCCCAAAUGCCGUACUAAGUGGAAAAGGAUGUGGGGAUUCAUAAACAACCAGGAUGUUGGCUCAGAAGCAGCCACCAUUUAAAGAGUGCGUAAUAGCUCACUGGUCGAGAGUCCCUGCGCCGAAAAUUUCCGGGGCUAAAGUACGGAACCGAAGCCGUGGCUGUGUACUUAGGUGCACGGGGUAGGGGAGCGUUGCCACAGGGGUGAAGCUGGUCUGGAAGGACUGGUGGACUUGUGGGAAGUGAGAAUGUUGGUAUGAGUAGCGAAAAGAAAGGUGAGAAUCCUUUCCACCGAAAGCAUAAGGAUUCCUGAGCAACGAUCGUCGUCUCAGGGUAAGUCGGGACCUAAUCCGAGGCAAAGAGCGUAGGAGAUGGACAACAGGUUGAUAUUCCUGUACCGGCAGCAAUUGUUUGAGCGAAGGAGUGACACAGAAGGGCAGGCAGGCGCGAGACUGGAUUGUCGCGUGCAAGCGUGUAGGGUAGUGUACAGGCAAAUCCGUACACUGAGAGCCUGAGGCGUUACGCGGAGCGAGCAGAGAUGCGAGCGAAGCUGCUGAUCCCACACUGUCGAGAAAAGCUUCUAGUGAGAGAGCUGCCGCCCGUACCGUAAACCGACACAGGUAUGCGGGGAGAGAAUCCUAAGGUGCGCGGGAGAACCCUCGUUAAGGAACUCGGCAAAAUGUACCCGUAACUUCGGGAUAAGGGUAGCCGUCUUGGUGAAGGAACUAGCUUCUGGAGCUGAAGGCGGUCGCAGAGAAGAGGCCCAAGCGACUGUUUACCACAAACACAGGUGCCUGCUAAAGCGAAAGCUGACGUAUAGGUGCUGACACCUGCCCAGUGCUGGAAGGUUAAGGAAGGAUGUCCGGGCAACCAAAGCAUUCGACCGAAGCCCCAGUGAACGGCGGCCGUAACUAUAACGGUCCUAAGGUAGCGAAAUUCCUUGUCGGGUAAGUUCCGACCCGCACGAAAGGUGUAACGAUUUGGGCACUGUCUCAACGAGGGACCCGGUGAAAUUGAAAUACCUGUGAAGAUGCAGGUUACCCGCGACUGGACAGAAAGACCCCAUGGAGCUUUACUGUAACCUGACAUUGGGUUUUGUUGUAUUACGUACAGGAUAGGUGGGAGGCUUGGAAGGCUGGACGCUAGUCUGGCUGGAGCCGGCGUUGGGAUACCACCCUUGAUACAACGGAAUUCUAACCGAGAGAGUAACGAAAUCCGGGACAGUGUCAGGCGGGCAGUUUGACUGGGGCGGUCGC